rnacentral:rRNA from 1 species
UCCUACGGGAGGCAGCAGUAGGGAAUAUUGCGCAAUGGGCGAAAGCCUGACGCAGCGACACCGUGUGAAGGAUGAAGAUUUUCGGAUCGUAAACUUCUGUCAAUUGGGGACGAAGGUAGUAGGGUUAAUAGCUUUUACUAUUGACGGUACCCAAUAAGGAAGUCUCGGCUUACUCCGUGCCAGCAGCCGCGGUAAGACGGGGGAGGCAAGCGUUGUCCGGAAUUAUUGGGCGUAAAGAGCGCGUAGGGUGGUUUGUAAAGUCAUUUGUGAAAACUUUAGGCUUAACUUAAAGACUGCAAGUGAUACUGACAAACUUGAGUACAGUAGAGGAAAGUGGAAUUCCUGGUGUAGCGGUGAAAUGCGCAGAUAUCAGGAAGAACACCAGUGGCGAAGGCGGCUUUCUGGGCUGUUACUGACGCUGAGGUGUGAAAGCUAGGGGAGCAAACAGGAUUAGAUACCCUGGUAGUCCUAGCCGUAAACGAUGGACACUAGGUGUGGGGAGUUAUCGACGCUCUCUGUGCCGAAGCUAACGCAUUAAGUGUCCCGCCUGGGGAGUACGGUCGCAAGACUAAAACUCAAAGGAAUUGACGGGGGCCCGCACAAGCGGCGGAGCAUGUGGCUUAAUUCGACGCAACGCGAAGAACCUUACCAAGGCUUGACAUCGUAUUGACAAAUGCAGAAAUGUAUCUCCUUCGGGCAAUAUGACAGGUGGUGCAUGGCUGUCGUCAGCUCGUGUCGUGAGAUGUUGGGUUAAGUCCCGCAACGAGCGCAACCCUUGUCCCAUGUUGCCAGCAUUUAGUUGGGCACUCUUGGGAGACUGCCGGUGUAAAACUGGAGGAAGGUGGGGAUGACGUCAAGUCAUCAUGCCCUUUAUGCCUUGGGCUGCACACGUGCUACAAUGGUCGGUACAAAGAGAAGCGAUAUCGUGAGGUGGAGCAAAUCUCAUAAAACCGAUCUAAGUCCGGAUUGUAGGCUGAAACUCGCCUACAUGAAGUGGGAGUCGCUAGUAAUCGUGGAUCAGCACGCCACGGUGAAUACGUUCCCGGGCCUUGUACACACCGCCAU